rnacentral:rRNA from 1 species
UACGUAGGGGGCAAGCGUUGUCCGGAGUCAUUGGGCGUAAAGAGCGCGUAGGCGGUCCGGUAAGUCAGCUGUGAAAGUCAAGGGCUCAACCCUUGAAAGCCGGUUGAUACUGUCGGGCUAGAGUCCGGAAGAGGCGAGUGGAAUUCCCGGUGUAGCGGUGAAAUGCGCGGAUAUCAGGAGGAACACCAAUUGCGAAGGCAGCUCGCUGGGACGUUACUGACGCUGAGACGCGAAAGCGUGGGGAGCAAACAGG